rnacentral:lncRNA from 1 species
ACUCCAUCAACGUUGUUCUAACUUCCGCUGACGUGGCAGUUGAGCGCUUCUGUAUGGACCGAUGUGGGUCUCACGGUUCCGCUUCAUCUUCAGCGAAACCUGUUAAGGGUAAAAAUGUAAAAUUCGCUUACAUUUGGGUUGGUAAUUCAGAAACUCAAUGUCCAGGUCAAUGCGCGUGGCCAUUUCACCAACCUAUUUAUGGGCCACAAAGUCCACCUUUGGUUGCUCCAAACAACGAUGUGGGACUUGAUGGAAUGGUUAUUAAUUUAGCCGGUCUUUUGGCUGGAACCGCAACAAACCCUUUUGGAAAUGGGUAUUUUCAGGGUCCAGCUGAAGCUCCUCUCGAAGCUGCUUCGGCUUGUCCUGGUGUUUAUGGUAAAGGUGCUUAUCCUGGUUAUG